GUGCCAGCAGCCGCGGUAAUACGUAGGUGGCAAGCGUUGUCCGGAAUUAUUGGGCGUAAAGCGCGCGCAGGCGGUCCUUUAAGUCUGAUGUGAAAGCCCACGGCUCAACCGUGGAGGGUCAUUGGAAACUGGAGGACUUGAGUGCAGAAGAGGAAAGUGGAAUUCCAUGUGUAGCGGUGAAAUGCGUAGAGAUGUGGAGGAACACCAGUGGCGAAGGCGACUUUCUGGUCUGUAACUGACGCUGAGGCGCGAAAGCGUGGGGGAGCAAACAGGAUUAGAUACCCUGGUAGUCCACCGCCGUAAACGAUGAGUGCUAAGUGUUAGGGGGUUUCCGCCCCUUAGUGCUGCAGCUAAACGCAUUAAGCACUCCGCCUGGGGUGUACGGCCGCAAGGCUGAAACUUCAAAGGAAUUGACGGGGGCCCGCACAAGCGGGGGAAGAAUGUGGUUUAAAUUCGAAGCAACGCGAGGAACCUUUACCAGGCCUUGACAUCCCGCUGCCCGCCUUAGAGAUAAGGCUUUCCCUUCGGGGACAGCGGUGACAGGUGGUGCAUGGUUGUCGUCCGCUCGUGUCGUGAAUGUGGGUUAGUCCCGCAACGAAGCGCAACCCUUGAUUCUUAGUUGCCAGCAAUCAGUUGGGCACUCUAAGGUGACUGCCGGUGACAAACCGGAAGAAGGUGGGGAUGACGUCAAAUCAUCAUGCCUUAUGACUUGGCUAACACACGUGCUACAAUGACGUACAAAGGCAGCCAACCCGCAGGGAGCAAUCCCAGAAACCGGUCUCAGUCGAUGCAGCUGCACUCGCUGCAUGAAGCGAAUCGCUAGUAUCUGAUCAGCAUGCACGUGAAUACGUCCGGCUUGCCUCA
rnacentral:rRNA from 1 species